GACGAACGCUGGCGGCGUGCUUAACACAUGCAAGUCGAACGGAAAGGCCCUGCUUUUGUGGGGUGCUCGAGUGGCGAACGGGUGAGUAACACGUGAGUAUCCUGCCCUUGUCUUUGGGAUAACUUCAGGAAACUGGGGCUAAUAUCGGAUAGGAGCUCCUGCUCCAUGGUGGGGGUUGGAAAGUUUCGGCGGUUGGGGAUGGACUCGCGGCUUAUCAGCUUGUUGGUGGGGUAGUGGCUUACCAAGGCUUUGACGGGUAGCCGGCCUGAGAGGGUGAACGGCCACAUUGGGACUGAGGGACGGCCCAGAAGCCUACGGGAGGCAACAGGGGGGAAUAUUGCACAAUGGGCGGAAGCCUGAUGCAGCAACGCCGCGUGCGGGAUGACGGCCUUCGGGUUGUAAACCGCUUUCGCCUGUGACGAAGCGUGAGUGACGGUAAUGGGUAAAGAAGCACCGGCUAACUACGUG
rnacentral:rRNA from 1 species